rnacentral:rRNA from 1 species
CGUGCCUACGGGACGCAGCAGUGGGGGAUAUUGCACAAUGGGGGGAACCCUGAUGCAGCGACGCCGCGUGGGUGAAGAAGCGCCUCGGCGCGUAAAGCCCUGUCAGCAGGGAAGAAGAUGACGGUACCUGAAAAAGAAGCCCCGGCUAACUACGUGCCAGCAGCCGCGGUAAUACGUAGGGGGCAAGCGUUAUCCGGAUUUACUGGGUGUAAAGGGAGCGUAGACGGAAAGGCAAGUCAGAAGUGAAAACCCAAGGCUCAACC